UUCACCAUCGUCCACAACUCCAAUCCCAGGGAGAUUCAGUACUUUGUUCUCACCACGGUAGGCACCAGGUAUAUGAUCAUGCACAUAUAUACAGGUAAACUAUUCCUACACAUAAAAUAAAAUGAAUAAAUAUUUUUAAAAGAAAUCUUUUUAUUGAAAAGAAUAAAAAAACCCUUCAAGAUAAUACAGCAAGAGGAAAAGACAUAGAUAAUUACAAGCGUUCAUAGGUCCAGUCGCUGUAGCCCUGUCAUGUGCUCCGGAGGUAUGCACUGAGGUUUUGUGAGGAAAACCCCUUCUUGCUGGGGUCUCACUAAGCCUGGGCAGUGGCUAAAGCCUUGCAAACCCUCCCGGAGGGUCUUGGAUGGAGGCAGCAGAACACCAUUGUAGGCCUGCUACAGAAUAAGAGAGGAGAAUGCAGUAUGAGGCUCGAUGAGUCUCCCCUGGCUGUGGAGCUGAGACCCAGGAGAGGGGAAGGGGGCUGCCUAGCAUAACCCUCUGUUUCUAAACAUGUUAGAAUUGAUUCUAGACCUUUCUUCUUGGCUCCAGUUUCCCUCAGACCCACAGGCAGACUCUGACUGUCCCUGUUGAGCAGGCUCAGUUGUCUCCAUCAGUUUCUUGGAUGUGCUCCAGACUGUGGCAGUGAACGAGGCACUCGGGGCCUGAUGUGACAAAAGAGGAAAACAUCCAGAAGACACUCGAACCUGGAAUCCAGGAGCCCCAAUUCUACGGGCUACUCACGGAGCGACUUCGGACAGAUUUUACUAUAGUACAUGGGUAUUUUGGCCACAUGUACAUCUGUGCAGCAUUUGUUGCCUGGUACCUGACAACCAUGGAGGCCAGAAGAUGGAGCUGGAUCCCAUGGGACUAAAGUAACAUGGUGAGCCACCAUGUGGUUGCUGGGAAUCGAACCAAGGUUUUCUAGGAGAGCGGCAAGUGUUUUUAGACCCCAAGCUAUCUCUGCAGCUGUAUACUAACCAUUUCAAAGCGUGCACACCAACAGUAUUUAGUAAACCCACAGUUCUGGGCAGCCUUCUCCUCUAUCUAGGUCUACAGCGUCUUCAUUAUCUCAACAGAAAUCCCCACCCAGCCAGUAGGGACUCCCACCCACUUCUCAGCCUCUCUUAAUUACCAACCUAGUUUAGAGGCUUAUCCAUGGGGUAUAAAGAGGCGCUCCGUUAUUUUUCAUUGCUCAUUAGUACUUCACUGUAUUAACACACCAAAUUCUGUGAGACAGGUGUGUUGCUCCCCAUACCGAAGGCAAUAGCGUGACACGUUAAUUCACCAACCUAGCUCCUGAUGAAUGUUUGGCUUAUUUCUACCUUCGUUGCUGUUGUUUUUGAGACAGGGUUCUACUCUAUAGCUCAGGAAGGCUUUGAACUAAUAACUCUCCUACCUCAGCUUCUUGAGAGCUGGAGUUACGGGUGUACGUAAAUACACCUGGCUCCAUCUUUGGAUUAUUGUCCAUAGUAACAGCAUGAGUAUGAAUGUUCAGGCAUAAGUCUGCAAUUCAAUGUCUUUUUCAUUUUCCUCUGCUUCUUUUGGUCUGUACCUAAGAUGGACCCGCGGGGUCAUCUAACUUCUUGGGGCAUGACUGAUCUAUUUCCAGAGCAGAUGAAUUGUUUUAUGUUUCCAUCAGCAGUGAUCUUAGGCUCCAGCUAGUUUCUCCACAUUCUUGCCAACUCUUGUUAUUUUACAUGUAAAACAUGUAAUGGGGCUAUAACGAUAGCUCAGUCAUCUGCUAUACAGGCCUGUCAACCAAGUUUGAUCCUUAGAAUUCAUUAUGGAAGGACAAAACUGACCCUGAAAGCCAGAAAGUUACCCUCUGACCUCUGCCCACAUGACAUGGCAGGAAGACAGUGAAACAGCAUUCUCUCUCUCUCUCUCUCUCUCUCUCUCUCUCUCUCUCUCUCUCUCUCUCACACACACACACACACACAAACUGAAAAAAUUACUUAUAGCCACUCUAAUGUGUAUAGAGAUUUCAUUAUAGAUUUAAAACUUAAUAGUAAGCUAUUUUAGGAGUUAUUCUAGAUUCAUAGAAGGAUUAUUCAGAAUAAAGAGAGUUUCCAUUUACCCCCCCACCCCCGUGUCCACUCAUGCAAAGCCUUUCCUAGUGUCAACCACUGGUACCACAGUGGUACAUUUGUUUCACUCAAUGAGCCUACAUGGGUACACCAUCAUGUCCCCAAGUCCACAUUUCACAUUAGCAUUUACUUUCAGGGUUGCUCAGUCCAUGAGUCGUUGACAGAUGCACAGAGGUGCGUAGCCAUUGCUACAGCAUUGUCCUCUGUACAAGCAGUGUCUCUGCCCUAAGAAUCCUAUGUCCUGCUCAUUGUGGUUUUGAUUUGCAUUUCUUUAAUGACUGAUGGCAUUCAACCUCAGUCUAGUGGUUUUCAAACAGUCUUGAGAAGCCCCCUGAGGCCCACCGUGGUGAGAAGGGGAAGGCAGAGCAGGUGGCAAUGGCAUUCAUUCAAGACCCUCACAACCCAAUCUGUCACAAGUGUUUCACUUUCAUAUACUCAGCCCGUCACGAAAUACUCUACCAUCACCAAUGGUGCUGAGGCCAAGCUAACUUUGAUCGUGUGUCAUCUAUAUUGACUCUUAGCCCAUGUGUUGAGGUAAUUAAUAUCCCAAACUGAGAGUAGAAGUGGAUUUUCUGACUACUGUUUCAUUCUCUUUCCAUUCUAUUAUCCUGUCAGUAACAACAGAAAUAAAGACAAUUACCCAUGUCUUAAAUGCUCACAUUGUGGCAAAUCCUGAUAUAAGCACUGUCAUACAAUUCUACCAUGAUAUAUCUCUGUGUUCAUGCCUUGAAGAGGCAUGUUCACAAGUUGUGAUGGUUAGCUUUAAUUGUCAACUUGACACAACUUAGAAUCAUCUGGGAAGAGAGUCUCAGUGGGAAACUGUCUACAUCGGAUUGGUCUGAGGGCAGGUCAAUAGGGAAUCGUCUAAGCUAAAUGAUAUGGAAAGACCCGGCCCACUUUUGGUGGCAUCAUUCCCUUGGAGAGUGUUGUCCAGUGGUUUCCUCAGUGAUUAGAGCAUUCCAUCCUUCAGGGAAGACAGAAGGCAAACAACUCAAAAUAGCAACAGGAAGUCUCUGAAGCUGACCAGAUUCACUUUUUCCCAGUCUCCCAGAAGAAGCAAUAGAGACGACUGAGAGUCACUCUUAGACAAGCAAUGAAAACUUAGCCUGGAAGAAGCAGAUACCAGCUGAGCUGCUUGAAAGAGAUUUAGACCAGUUGAGUCACUUGGAAGGGACACUCUCCAACCUGUUGAGUUGCCUGCAUGCUGUGCAGUGAGCUCCAGGUUCUCAGCUUUGUGAACUGUCACCCAUGCCGGAAUGGGCUUUGCUGAUGCAGCUGUCUGUGAGUCAUUCUGCUCUUGUAAGGAAGCCCUCACCCAUCUCCCUAUGAGUGACCCCAAUAAAAACCUCCUUGGCUCACCAAGUUUGACUUUGGUGAUGUCUCUAUGUUGGUCUGUUGUUGGCUCUCUAUUUGGGGUGGGUAGACGUGUGUGUUGCAUCUCCCUAGGAAAAGUCUUGUCAUACAACAGAUCUAAAGGGCAAAAUAUAGUCAAGCAGAGCAGGUAAAAAAGUGAUCAUGGCUCCAUCUACCUCUCUCUGCUUUGGACUAUGGAUAGUAUGUGACUAGAUGUUUGAAGGUCCAGUCUUGACUUCCCUAUAAUUGUGGCCUAUAACCUGGAAUUGUAAGUGGAAAUAAAACCUUUCCUCAC
ensembl:lincRNA Gm13881 predicted gene 13881